AUCUACGGCCAUGCCACCCUGAACAGACCCGAUCUUAUCUGAUCUAGAAAGCUAAGCAGGGUUGGGCCUGGUUAGUACUUGGAUAGGAGACCACCAAGGAAGACUGGGUGCUGUAGGUG
rnacentral:rRNA from 1 species